rnacentral:tRNA from 1 species
AAAAUUAUAGUAUAUUUAGUAUUUUUAAUUGCAAAUUAAAGGGUAUCAAUUUUU